GGAAGACAUUUUUUGGUGCUCGCAAGAUGAAGACACAACCGCUACUGCAUGCAAGGCAUGUGAAUACAAAGCCUGUACAAUGGAUUCUGUGGGUUAAAUCGUGAGUCGACAAGAGAAAGAUGGAUGCUAUACAAAAG